GAAGAACCGACGGUCGAGCUGAAGCUUUUCGUGGACAAGGAGAAGAAUAGGGUCCUCUUCGCCGAGUCCGGCAAGGAGUUCGUCGACGUGCUCUUCGGCUUUCUCACGCUGCCUCUCGGCACCGUUGUUCGCCUCCUCGGCAAGCAGUCCCAGGUCGGAUGCCUCGACGAGAUCUACAAGAGCGUGGAGGAGCUCUCCACCGACUUCUUCAGAACCGAGGCCUGCAAGGCGAUGCUGCUUAGGCCCAUCAGCCCUGCGGCGAAGCAAUGCUGCGACCUCAAGGUCAGAGUCGACGACACCAAGCACAGGGAGGUCUAUGUUUGCGGCAACACGAGCUGUUGCGCCAAGGCCGACGGCUCGUUUAGCUCGGUUCCCGGUGCUCUCUGCAAAUGCGGCAAAGUCAUGGGGCAGAUCCCUGGAGAGUGGCCGGAGAAUUGUGAUAUCACUUUUGCUACUGGUUCUGUAGAUGGAGUUUUUGUCAAAGGAUGCUUGAAGUUUAUCGUGACUGAUGAUCUCCAAGUAGCACCAGCCUCAACUUCUCUCAUGUUGUCACUUUUUAAGAAGUUUGGGGUGGAGGAUCCCUCCCGUCUUGAGCAGAGGAUGAUCCAGCUCAGUUCAGUCGAGAUGACUAACUUGCUCAAGAGAUCAUUGACGUCGAAGCAGCCUUUAACUGGUCACUGUUUUGAUGUUGCCAUCUCAAAUGAUGUUUUAGCCCUAGAGAUGCUACUGGAGAGUUUACAUCCUAAGCAGGGAAAUGAUGCUGAGCAUGAGUUGGACAAUGUGAAGAUAAGAGUUCUUCAGACGAACAACUCAUCGCUGCUCUAUGCUGAAGUUAAUGACGAUUUCGUCGAGCUCCUAUUUGGCUUCCUGACCGUACCACUGGGAUCCAUCAUUGAGACUUAUGGUUCAUGGCCAUCAAUUGGAUGCAUCGGUAAUCUGUACAGUAGUAUAGAUGGAAGUGCUAAAAUGCCCAGAGAACAAUACCAGAGCCUGUUGCUAUCACCAAAGCUGGCGCCUUUCUUUACUUCCUGCGCUACCAAGAUAGUGCAAGCUGAAGAAUCAGCUCCAAGGAAGCAACAAAUCAAGGCAUGCUUCAAGUGCAUCAAGACAUUAGGUUUUCCCAAGCAUGUCAACUGUCACGCGAAAGAUCGACAUGGCAAUUAUGUGAAUUGCCGUGACACUGCAAAGACCACAAACCUCUGUGAAUGUGAUCCAAAAUCCCCAAAGGGAGGAAGUGACAAGGGUAAAGGGUAUGUCAAGCAAGGCCCUCAGAACUUCAUGGAGCUACUGAAAGCCGCCUUGGUGACUCCAAAAGCUCUCAGCUCGGUGCUUCUGCCUCCGAAGAACAAGAAGAAGCUGCCUCACCUCAGCACCGGCCUAUAUUAG
rnacentral:rRNA from 1 species